rnacentral:snoRNA from 1 species
GUGAAGUGACGAUUAAUAUUCAUAUCUGUCAAUCCUCUGAAGCAUUUUUAUGAUGCCAUUCUGAAUAUCCCGACAGGUUCUGAUCGC